rnacentral:rRNA from 1 species
AUUGAACGCUGGCGGCAGGCCUAACACAUGCAAGUCGAGCGGUAGAGCGAAGCUUGCUUCUCUUGAGAGCGGCGGACGGGUGAGUAAUGCCUAGGAAUCUGCCUGGUAGUGGGGGAUAACGUUCGGAAACGGACGCUAAUACCGCAUACGUCCUACGGGAGAAAGCAGGGGACCUUCGGGCAUUGCGCUAUCAGAUGAGCCUAGGUCGGAUUAGCUAGUUGGUGGGGUAAUGGCUCACCAAGGCGACGAUCCGUAACUGGUCUGAGAGGAUGAUCAGUCACACUGGAACUGAGACACGGUCCAGACUCCUACGGGAGGCAGCAGUGGGGAAUAUUGGACAAUGGGCGAAAGCCUGAUCCAGCCAUGCCGCGUGUGUGAAGAAGGUCUUCGGAUUGUAAAGCACUUUAAGUUGGGAGGAAGGGCAGUAAAUUAAUACUUUGCUGUUUUGACGUUACCGACAGAAUAAGCACCGGCUAACUCGGUG